UUUAUUUGGAGAGUUUGAUCCUGGCUCAGGACGAACGCUGGCGGCGUGCCUAAUACAUGCAAGUCGAGCGAAGUUUUUCUGGUGCUUGCACUAGAAAAACUUAGCGGCGAACGGGUGAGUAACACGUA
rnacentral:rRNA from 1 species